rnacentral:lncRNA from 1 species
UUAUUUAAAUCCGAGUUACGGUUAAUUAGUUAUGAAAUAAAUCAUUUUAACAUAUUAUUCGAGCAAAUUUAAUCAAACAACAUUUUAAGCAAUUUUAACAUGGGUGAAAGUGGCAUAUUAUUAAACUACACAAAAUUCUAAGCAUUUUACAUGUAUAAAUUAUUUUAAUCCGAUGCACGGUUUAUUAGUUAUUAAAUGCAUGAAGAACAGGGGGUUUUCUGUAAAACUGUAAUUCUCUGGAUAAAUGCGAAAAUCACAGCAGUAGAAAAAAAACACUAUGGGCCGAAUCUUGCUGCACUGUUGGGCCAACAGAGAGGAGCUGUGGGGAGCUCACCCAUGGGCCAAUCCCAGCUAAGAGGAGGUGGCCCAAUCGGCGCAGAUCUGGGCCUCGGGCGUGCUUGCGGCCCAGGAGGCUGGCCACGCUGGCGCUUGAACGGGUCAACGCUGGGGGGCUUGGCGCUGGAUCUCUGCUCCUCCCGCAGCGAGACGAAGCAGGGGCGCAGGACUUGGCGCGGGGCAGAGGCGGACUUGGGGCUCCGGCAGGAGGAACUUGAGGCGCAGGGGACGACGAGCUCGAGCAAAGGCUGGACAGGCGCGGCGCGAUGGGACGGGCGCGGGGGAGCUCUCCGGCGAGGCCGUAGCUGGGCUCGUCUGGUUCCUGUCCCUGACGAAGAGAGACAGAGAGAGGUGAGACAGAGAGAGGGGGAAGGGAAAGGAAGAGAGGGCGCGAGGGAGGCCCGGCGGCGUGACCUGGAGGUGGCCGAAGGCUUGCCGGGGUGGCCUGGUGGAUGCUCGUCGGCGGAGGGAGCGGAUCAGGGGACGUGAUGCCGGAUCCGGUGAAGAACAACGGCGGGCGGCAACGACCGAUGAUGACGACGCGAUGCUCCACACCUCCUGUGCUCAUAAACAGAGAGAGAGCUGAGAUGCAGAGAAGAGGAAAAUGGAGGAACGAGAGGGCGCGACGGGGGCUCGCCUGGGUGGCGGAGGGCGUCGGCAGGAGGAGGCAAGGUGCUGGCCUGCGAGUAAACGGCGGCGACGAGACUGACGAAGUGGCCGUCCGGGUCACGGAGCUCGUGCGCGACCAGAGGAGCUCGGGGGCUCGGGCGCGCGAGGCUGGAAGAAGCUCCGGCUGGUUGAGGUACUUGGUGACGCGGGCGCCGGGGAGAGGGACUCGGCUGCAGGAGAGGCCCGGCGGGGCAGCGCGUGGAGGAGGGCACGGGCAUGGCUGAAGUCCCGGUGGUGACUCCGGCGAGGUUGUUGCUGCUGUUGCUAGGACAGCAGGGGCAUAAGGCCAUGGGCGUUCGAACGGGGAGGCAGAAGCGGGGCGGUGCUCCAGUGGCUCAGGGACAGGAGCAGCGGCGGCAUCCAGAUGGGCUCAGCGGCUGGACGCGGGGAGGAGGCAAUGGAGAGAACAGGGAGGCGUUGGAUCGAUGGAUUGGUCCGGUGGGGAAAACGAGGUGGAGCUCGGUGGGGGGUGGAUCGGGAAGGCAGGGGAGUGCUCUGGUUGGGCAGGUGAAUCGGGAGGGAUCCCGAUGGGGAUUUGGUGAGUGGGUGGCGGCGGCAGGGGGGACAAAUGUCCUAGGAUUUAGGGUUAGGCAGAUUAUAUAGGUAGGGGAUUAGGAUAGGGGUUAACUCGGUUCGUCCGAUCGCAAACGGACGAUCGAGAAAAAUAGGUAGGGAGAGUCUAUAUAAGAAACGAUGAUGUUUUAUAGAUGUCUGGGGAUGAUCCGAAUCCAACGGUAACAACAAACCGGGUCGGGUACGGGACAACUUUCGGACGCGCCGGAGGGGAUCGCGGGCUGACGAGAGAGGUUAGUUGGUUUGACAAGAGGGAACCGAAAACACGGUUGGUCUCGGAACGGUCAACGAAGACAAGGGGAACGCGGCAACUACGAACGAAUGCAAAUUUUUAAAACAUGACGGCAACAAAGUGCCGAUGCAAUGCAAAUGAUGCGAUGAUGAAUGCAACACACAAAUAAAACACAGCUGACUCGCAAAACAAGGAAGGCAAUCGGAGCGUCGGUCUCGGGGCGUUACAACACUCCACCACUACAAGAGGAUCUUGUCCUGAGAUCUAGGAUUGCACCGGAGAGAAACGGAAGAGGAAGAGAGGAGGUAAAACUAAUUGCUUCUUUGACAAACGAGUGAAACCAAAGAACCUUGAGAGGUCGCAAAGCUUGAAGAAAUGACACGACAGAGGUGAACAAAAUUGAGAAGACUCCGGUAGAAAAGAGAGACAAGGAACACCAUGAGAACCUUGAGGUUAAGUGACACAACAGAUAUUUAAAACCACUCCGGUUAAAACAAGAUAGGGAAGGGAUAAGAAUGAUAUAAUUUGGGCAGCACUCCGACUGUAAAUGGAAGGAGCUGAACAUGAUCUACACAAGAUGAGAGGAUACUCGAUGAACUUAACAACACAUUGCCUCCGGAACUAAAGAAAGAAUGGCAACAAGGGGUAAGAAAGAUUUCAGACAGCACUCCGGUUGAUAAGGGAGGCAAAACUUGACAGAAUGGGAAGAACUUGAAAAGAGGGCACGACACUCCGGCUAAACGGAUAAGAAAGGAAAAAAUUACAUGAUCUUGACAAAACAAGAUGAUUGAUCGAAGAGAGCAAUGUCACAAUGCCUCCGGGACGCACGAAUAGAAGAUAGAUCGUCGGAAUAAGAGAACGGAGAAGGAAAUGAUAACUUCUACCACAAUUGAAUUUGGGAAGAAUCCUUAAAAGAAGGAUAGAACGGAGUUGUUGGAAAACCAACAACGAAAAGAACAAGCUUGUUGAGGGCUUAUGGAACACCUCUCAAAAUUAUGAGGUGACAACCCGCCACUAAAGGAAACCAUUGGUUUGAGUGAGAGCACCAAGGCGAUGGAAAACUUCUUUCACCAAGAGGAUAGGAGAAAACUUGGAUAAUUGAUAAGCACCAUAAUAGCAACAUUCCUUAGGGAAGGCUUUAGGUGAAACAUGACACAAUAUAAAUCCAACGAAGAGAUUAUUAUGAGUUGAAACAACUCAUGGACGAAGAAAAAUAUGAUGGGUUUAAAUAUCUCAUUCUUGACAACUUGUGAAUCAUGAAACAUGAAGAAAAUAAUCAAGAAUGACAUAACACCACCUCAAAAUAUAAGAGAGAAAGAAUUGCACUUCGGAAUGCAAGAUGAAGAAUGCUUGAACUCCUCAAAACAAAACAUGUGUUGAACACCAUGUUUAUUUUAGAGUAUAGCUUGACGGAUCUUAACUCCGAGAGAAAUCUUGAAGAACAAUUGAAGAAUGAAAGGAAUCCUUGACGAAUCACCAUGUAGAGCCUCCAUGAAGAACUCCGGUAAUAAAAGAAUGAUCAAACGAAAUGGAAAGUUGAAAAGAACCCCGGGAGAAGCCUUGCAAUGAUUUAGAUGGAGCUUUGAAAUGAUAUAAUUGAAAUAACUUGGAGCUCCGGAAAGAAAAAAGAACAAACGAGAUCAACUUUUUUUGAUGAAUCUCCGGAAUAAGGAAUUAAUCACUUGGAUGAAACAAGAAUAAGAAUUACAUUACGCGUAUCCUUCGCCACUUUAGAUUGAUGACAAGCAACGGAUUUGGCAUAGUACUUAUUCUCGUAGAAAGGAUUAAGAUAGAUAUAGCGCAAACUUGAGAAAAGUCUUCAAUGAACCACCGGUAGGAUUUGGAAACAACGAAUGAAUUGAUAUGAUAACGAGGGAAGGGAAAUCUUGAACGAACCACCGCGAGAAUCUGAAAAUCAACGAAGAUAAGAUAAAGAAAAAACACCGGGAAGAAUUAGAGAACGAAUAAAGAUACUUGAGGGGAUUUUGAUACAAGUGAACGAAUAGAUGAUGAGCUGAAUAGAGAAUACUUGAAUGAUGCACCGGUAAGAUUUGGAGAACGAGAGCUCUGAUACCAACUUGUAACACCCACGAUGCGGCUAUAUCUCCCACGUGUCGAGGCACGACUUAGAGGCAUAACCGCAUUGUGGUGUAGUCGCAAGAAGGGUCAUCUUCACAUAAUCCCAUGUAAUAAACAAGAAUGGGAUAAAGAGUUGGCUUACAAUCGCCACUUCACACAAUACAUAAAUAAAACAUACAUCAUUCAGAGAUACACACAUAGGUCCGACUACGGAACCAAAAUAAAAGAAGACAACCCAACUGCUAGAUCCCUGAUCGUCCCAACUGGGCACCACUACUGAACAACAUGAAAAGAAUCAACACAACGAACAAGAUCUUCAUCGAGCUCCCAUUUGAGCUCAGUUGCGUCACCUGCACUGGUAUCAACGGCACCUGCAACUGUUUUGGAAGUAUCUGUGAGUCACGAGGACUCAGCAAUCUCACACCCGCGAGAUCAAGACUAUUUAAUCUUAAGGGUAGGAGAGGGUAAGGUGGUGAGGUUGCAGCAGCGACUAAGCAUAUAUGGUGGCUAAAAUACGCAAAUAAGAGCGAGAAGAGAAGCAACGGAACGGUCGUGAAGCUAGCAAUGAUCAAGAAGUGAUCCUGAACUCCUACUUACAUCAAACAUAACCCAGAAACCGUAUUCACUUCCCGGACUCCGCCGAGAAGAGACCAUCACGGCUACACACGCGGUUGAUGCGUUUUAAUUAAGGUCAAGUGUCAAGUUCUCUACAACCGGAUAUUAACAAAUUCCCAUCUGCCACAUAACCGCGGGCAUGGCUCUCGAAAGUUUAUACCCUGCAGGGGUGUCCCAACUUAGCCCAUUAUAAGCUCUCACGGUCAACGAAGGAUAUUCCUUCUCCCAGGAAGACCCGAUCAGUCUCGGAAUCCCGGUUACAAGACAUUUUGACAAUGGUAAAACAAGACCAGCAAAGCCGCCCGAAUGUGCUGACAAAUCCUGAUAGGAGCUGCACAUAUCUCGUUCUCAGGGCACACUGGAUUGUCCAAGCUUCCGAUAGGCGAGCCCAGAGUUGCCCCUGGUGGCCACCGGCGACUAACGGGUUGGACCAACACUCAGAGGAGCACUGGCCCAGGGGUUUAAAAUAAAGAUGACCCUUGAGUCUGCAGAACCCAAGGGAAAAAGGCUUAGGUAGGCAAAUGGUAAAACCAAGGUUGGGCCUUGCUGGAGGAGUUUUAUUCAAAGCGAACUGUCAAGGGGGUCCGAUAAAUCACCCAACCGCGCAAGGAACGCAAAAUCAAGGAACAUAACACCGGUAUGACGGAAACUAGGGCGGCAAGAGUGGAACAAAACACCAGGCAUAAGGCCGAGCCUUCCACCCUUAACCAAGUAUAUAGAUGCAUUAAUUAAAUAAGAGAUAUUGUGAUAUCCCAACAUAAUUAUGUUCCAACAAGGAGCAAUCUUCAACUUCACCUGCAACUAACAACGCUGUAAGAGGGGCUGAGCAAAAGAGGUAACAUAGCCAAACAACGGUUUGCUAGGAAGGGUGAAAAGGUUAGGGGCUGACAUGGCAGUAUGGGAGGCAUGAUAUAGCAAGUGGUAGGUAGCGCAGCAUGGCAAUAGAACGGACAACUAGCAAGCAAAGAUAGAAGUGAUAUCGAGGGUAUGGUCAUCUUGCCUGAAAUCCCGCUAGGAAGAAGAACGAGUCCAUGAAGCAGACAAACGGACGUAGUCGAACGAAUCCUCUCAACUCCGGAACGAAACCGAAGGUAACGAGAGAGCAAACCGGAAAGAAGCAAACAACACGGUAAACACACAAUCAUAAACAUGGCAUGAUGCACAAUCAAGUAUGAUGCAUGUCCGGUUUAAAGAGGCAUGGCAUGGCAAAGUGCACAAGCAAAACUACAAGUUAAGUGGAGCUCAAUAGGCAACGAGUUGCAUAUUGACGAAACACCACAUCAAUUAUUUAGUUCUCUCUCGUUUAUGUACCCAACAAUAUUAAAUGUUAUUAACCAUGGCAAGAGAUGAAGCAUAUGAAAACUAACUAUUUAAGCAAGUUAAAUGAGGCCGGAAACAAACAACAACAAUUCCGGAAAAUCCCCAUGUGCAAUAUUUUAGAUUUGGUACUGUUCUGCCAUAAAUGCAAUUUUAUUAUUGUUAAACAGCAAAAUGAAGUGCACCAUGUUAAACUAGGCAUUUUUCUACCCCAUUUACAUAUAAAUUUUAUUUAAAUCCGAGUUACGGUUAAUUAGUUAUGAAAUAAAUCAUUUUAACAUAUUAUUCGAGCAAAUUUAAUCAAACAACAUUUUAAGCAAUUUUAACAUGGGUGAAAGUGGCAUAUUAUUAAACUACACAAAAUUCUAAGCAUUUUACAUGUAUAAAUUAUUUUAAUCCGAUGCACGGUUUAUUAGUUAUUAAAUGCAUGAAGAACAUGGGGUUUUCUGUAAAACUGUAAUUCUCUGGAUAAAUGCGAAAAUCACCGCAGCAGAAAAAAAACACUACGGGCCGAAUCUUGCUGCACUAUUGGGCCAACAGAGAGGAGCUGUGGGCAGCUCACCCAUGGGCCUAUCCCAGCUAAGAGGAGGUGGCCCAAUCGGCGCAGAUCUGGGCCUCGGGCGUGCUUGCGGCCCAGGAGGCUGGCCACGCUGGCGCUUGAACGGGUCAACGCAGGAGGGGCUUGGCGCUGGCUCUCUGCUCCUCCCGCAGCGAGACGAAGCAGGGGCGCAGGAGUUGGCGCGGGGCAGAGGCGGACUUGGGGUUCCGGCAGGAGGAACUUGAGGCGCAGGGGACGACGAGCUCGAGCAAAGGCUGGACAGGCGCGGCGCGAUGGGACGGGCACGGGGGAGCUCUCCGGCGAGGCCGCAGCUGGGCUCGUCUGGUUCCUGUCC